UCUGCGGGGAGAGAACCAUAUGGUACAAUGCAAAUUUCAACUAAGGUUUCACUUACUAACAUUAGAACAACAAUAAUAAAAAAAAUUCCACCACGACGACGUUCUUACUUUCAUUCUGCUCUGCGUGCUCCUGCUGAUGAGAACUGUCGCCAGGCGGAAGGCUGGGUCGGGUUCCAGGAGGAUCCCCGGACAUCAGGAUGUUUGCAAUGGUCAAGAAUAAGGAGAUAUUUUGUGAUAUAUUUUUCAACCACUUCAAGAAAAAUAAAGUGGAGAUAGCAACUGCAAUAACAAAGCUGUUUCCUUUCCUAGAGGGCCUCAGAGACCGAUCCUUUAUCACCGAACAAAUCUAUGCUGAUUCUCAAGAAGCCUUUAGAAACCUGGUUCCUGUAGCCAGAGUGGUGUACCGUGUUCUUGGCCACCUUGAGAAGGUGUUUGAUUGGUCACUUCUACAAACCCUGUUCAGCAAAGUGAACCUGAAGGAGUACCCUGGCUUAAUACAGAUUUAUAAAACCUUUGAAAAUGUGUUCCAAGAAAAAUAUGUUUCCCAGAGAGGAGACCCGGAAGGAAGGCCACAAACGUCCAUCACUCAGCCAAGCCGUGAGCAAGGUACUUAGGACCGAGUACAAACUUGGUUUU